rnacentral:tRNA from 1 species
AGCAGCGUGGCUCAGUGGAAAGAGCACGGGCUUGGGCGACAGAGGAUGUGGGUUCUAAUCCCGCCUCUGCCA